GAUCAGGAGUUCCAUAGGCCAGCGCACAAUUGGCCCAGUGUCGUCCAGGUUAGGGGAGGGUUUGGCUGGAGGGGCUUUAAUUGGCUCAUCGCGCUCUUGCUGACCUCGUGGAACGAUCUUUCCUAUGACACAUUGGUGCCUCUGGCUUCCGGGUUAAGUGGGUUUAAGAAAUGUUAUCACCAUUAUCAAUCAUGUGGCAACCGAUUAGGGGACAGCAUAGCAUGUUUAAAGAAGUGCUAUCAUCUUAUUGCAACAGUACCAGUGAAGAGAUGGCAUAGCGUAUGAAACUGCUUAAAAAAGUGAGCAGUCAUUUCCUCUUCAUCAGAGCCUAUUACACAUUAUCAUACUUUACAUUUGUGUAUGGCUAAUUCCACGCUUACGUGGUGCACUGCUGAGGGCCCUAUAGGCCCUUGGUCAAUAGUGGUGCUCUGGGGCCUGGUCAGUAGUGGUGCUCUGCUGAGGGCCCUAUGGGGCCUGGUCAGUAGUGGGGCUCUGCUGAGGGGGCCCUAUGGGCCUUGGUCAGUAGUGGGGCUCUGCUGAGGGGGCCCUAUGGGCCUUGGUCAGUAGUGGGGCUCUGCUGAGGGGGCCCUAUGGGCCUUGGUCAGUAGUGUGGCUCUGCUGAGGGGGCCCUACGGGCCUUGGUCAGUAGUGGGGCUCUGCUGAGGGGGCCCUACGGGCCUUGGUCAGUAGUGGGGCUCUGCUGAGGGCACUGUGUUGGGAGUCGGGUGCCAUUUGGGACGCAACCUUAGGCCAUUGUAAGGUGUAAUAUGAUAUGGUGUAAUAGCUGUUAUCAAAAGAAAAUGACUGAUCAGUUUCUAAACAGUAUACAGCCAAUGCUGUCCCUUCACUCCCCUCUCCUUGGAAGUGGAACUAGCGAUAGUGAUCUCUAAUGCCAUGCCCCUGGUUGAACCAGCACAGUGACUUGGGUUAAUUAUGGUAUAAAAAUGGUGAGUUGUUGGAGACAAAAUGCAUGCAGCCUCCAGCAUCUUGUUACUGAAGCUGAACCAAACACUCAGACUCACUCUAUCAAUUCUCAUCACCAUGAAGAUGCUGUUGACCAUCUCUCUGCUCCUCAGUGUUGGCUUUGCACUGGCUGACGCAAUGUCUGUUCCGGAAGAGAGAAACGACCUGAUCAGACCAGGUUGGAAGGUCAUCAGGAACUGUGUGACAGUGACGACGACCAUGGUGGAUGAGUUUGACAACAUGCCGAAGCAGGAGAAGGAGACGGUUCAGAUCUUCGGGGGACCAGAGUGUGAGAACAACGAGAGAAGCAAAAGAGGAUUUGUUCGCAUCGGUCGACAACUCUCCAAUUACUGAAGUCUUGAGUGGCAUCACCUGGAGAAGACUGGCCUGUCCUCCCCAGUUUACGUACGUGACCCUUGACUGUGGGUAUCCGGUGACAGUGGACGAUCCAGUACAGUGACGGGCAGUGAAGACGACAUGGGAAUGUGGGAUAAUCAUGAAUUAAAGUUCAAUUUAUUGGAUUCACUCUAACUACUGUCCUAGUCUGAAAAGUGUCACACUAUACCCUAUGUUUUGCAGAUUUAAUGGUCAUAAUUAGUUUUCUUCUCUGUUAUGUACUUUCUGGUAACUCUCCCUAACUGUGACGACUCUAAGGCCAUACUGUAAUGUAUAUGAAUACAGUAUUGAAAAGUAACCUUGAAUUAUCAUAAUGUACGUUGUUAACGCUCACAUUUAUAAUGUUGUUGCAUAGGAUAGGUCUGAUAUGGAAUACUUCUAAUAUGAUCAAGAUAACAAAAUACUCAUCUAA